UAGAACGAGAAUCCGUCGGAAGUGCGACC
rnacentral:piRNA from 1 species